CCUACGGGAGGCAGCAGUGGGGAAUAUUGCACAAUGGGCGAAAGCCUGAUGCAGCGACGCCGCGUGAGGGAUGACGGCCUUCGGGUUGUAAACCUCUUUCAGCAGGGAAGAAGCGCAAGUGACGGUACCUGCAGAAGAAGCACCGGCUAACUACGUGCCAGCAGCCGCGGUAAUACGUAGGGUGCGAGCGUUGUCCGGAAUUAUUGGGCGUAAAGAGCUCGUAGGCGGUCUGUCACGUCGGAUGUGAAAGCCCGGGGCUUAACCCCGGGUCUGCAUUCGAUACGGGCAGACUAGAGUGUGGUAGGGGAGAUCGGAAUUCCUGGUGUAGCGGUGAAAUGCGCAGAUAUCAGGAGGAACGCCGGUGGCGAAGGCGGAUCUCUGGGCCAUUACUGACGCUGAGGAGCGAAAGCGUGGGGAGCGAACAGGAUUAGAUACCCUGGUAGUCCACGCCGUAAACGUUGGGAACUAGGUGUUGGCGACAUUCCACGUCGUCGGUGCCGCAGCUAACGCAUUAAGUUCCCCGCCUGGGGAGUACGGCCGCAAGGCUAAAACUCAAAGGAAUUGACGG
rnacentral:rRNA from 1 species